GACGAACGCUGGCGGCGUGCCUAAUACAUGCAAGUCGAACGGUCUUUUCUAUGGAAGCUUGCUUCCGCUGAGAAGAUAGUGGCGGACGGGUGAGUAACACGUGGGUAACCUGCCCAUAAGAGGGGGAUAACAUCCGGAAACGGGUGCUAAUACCGCAUAGUUUUCUUGAUCGCAUGAUUGAGAAAGGAAAGACGGCCUUUGUGCUGUCGCUUAUGGAUGGACCCGCGGCGUAUUAGUUAGUUGGUGAGGUAAUGGCUCACCAAGACGAUGAUACGUAGCCGACCUGAGAGGGUGAUCGGCCACAUUGGGACUGAGACACGGCCCAAACUCCUACGGGAGGCAGCAGUAGGGAAUCUUCCGCAAUGGACGAAAGUCUGACGGAGCAACGCCGCGUGAGUGAAGAAGGUUUUCGGAUCGUAAAACUCUGUU
rnacentral:rRNA from 1 species